GUUCGGAUUGCAGGCUGCAACCCGCCUGUAUGAAGUUGGAAUCGCUAGUAAUCGCGGAUCAGCAUGCCGCGGUGAAUACGUUCCCGGGCCUUGUACACACCGCCCGUCACACCAUGAGAGUCGGAACACCGAAGUCCGUAGUCUAACCGCGAAGGGGACGCGGCCGAAGGUGGGUUCGAUAAUCGGGGUGAAGUCGUAACAAGGUAUC
rnacentral:rRNA from 1 species